rnacentral:rRNA from 1 species
GAUGAACGCUGGCGGCGUGCCUAAUACAUGCAAGUCGAGCGGACGGACGAGAAGCUUGCUUUUCUGAUGUUAGCGGCGGACGGGUGAGUAACACGUGGAUAACCUACCUAUAAGACUGGGAUAACUUCGGGAAACCGGAGCUAAUACCGGAUAAUAUUUUGAACCGCAUGGUUCAAAAGUGAAAGACGGCCUUGCUGUCACUUAUAGAUGGAUCCGCGCUGCAUUAGCUAGUUGGUAAGGUAACGGCUUACCAAGGCAACGAUGCAUAGCCGACCUGAGAGGGUGAUCGGCCACACUGGAACUGAGACACGGUCCAGACUCCUACGGGAGGCAGCAGUAGGGAAUCUUCCGCAAUGGGCGAAAGCCUGACGGAGCAACGCCGCGUGAGUGAUGAAGGUCUUCGGAUCGUAAAACUCUGUUAUUAGGGAAGAACAUAUGUGUAAGUAACUGUGCACAUCUUGACGGUACCUAAUCAGAAAGCCACGGCUAACUACGUG